rfam:Myroides profundi strain D25, complete genome.
UCAAUAAGUAGAAAAACGAAAUGAAUUUAAUUCUAACAAAUACUUGGUGGUGGACUAAACUUACGUCGAAUGUCGUGAGCAGUCCUUGCUAUGUAUAUAUGAAUUAAGAGAAAUAAUAUAUAAUACCUAGAAGAGGCUUGUC